rnacentral:rRNA from 1 species
UACGUAGGGGGCAAGCGUUGUCCGGAUUUAUUGGGCGUAAAGAGCGUGUAGGCGGCCAGAUAGGUCCGUUGUGAAAACUGGAGGCUUAACCUCCAGCUGUCGAUGGAAACCAUCUGGCUAGAGUCCGGAAGAGGAGAGUGGAAUUCCUGGUGUAGCGGUGAAAUGCGCAGAUAUCAGGAGGAACACCAAUGGCGAAGGCAGCUCGCUGGGACGGUACUGACGCUGAGACGCGAAAGCGUGGGGAGCAAACAGG